AAAGAUGGCUAAGGGGAAGUGAGAGGCUGCGUCGUUACGACGUCCUCUUCUCCCCACGUCCAUUACGUCAACUGAAACAUCAACAACUUUAUUUCUUUCAAGAAGCCAUAGUGGCGUGCGAAAAUCCGCAAUGUUGUGGAUGCUCUCUGGUGGUUUCCAGUUGUCCUUGCUUGAAAGCUUCCUUUUUGGUGUCACUGACUGCUGGGAGCCAUGUGAAGGCGAUCCCACCCAUUCACAUAAGUUUUUGGGGUUUUUUUAACUUAAAAUUUUUUUAUAGCAUCUUAAAAAGUUAUGAAUUUGAUAAACAGGAGCUUAACUUAUACAAAAAAACAAAGAUUAUGAUUAGAUUUCUUACAGCUUUUUCUUUUUUUAAAUAUAGCUUAAAUUUAACAGUUGUUUCAACAUUGCAGAGCAACUAGAUAGAGUACUGGUCCUGAGCUCAGGAAGACUCAUCUUCUCAAGCUCAAAUCCGACUUCACUUACCGUGUGAUCCUGAGCAAAUCAUAUGACAAAAUAUGUCUCAUUCAGCCUGUUCAUAUGCACUACAAUCAUUCUCCACUACCUCCUUACCAACGGGUGGAAAGCAUGAGUCAUCAGUCUUUGCUACUUUAGAGUUCUGAAGCUUUUGAAGCCACUCUAGGAAAACGUGUAACCAACUCCAACUUCGACAAGCUAACCUUCAUUUGCCAGCCUUGUUUCACUGAGGGCUACUAUUUGGAUGUGAAACCUGCCAAAUUCUUUUGCAACAAGAGCUGUACAUCUUCCAGGUCUCUUGGAUUUUAUGUUGCCUGUAAGUAUGCAUAUAUUUCAUGUACCAAUGGCACAUGGAAUCAUAUUUGCAAAUGUUUUUCUACAUCUUUUUAAUGUUCUGACCACUGAGUGGGAUCCCCCACCUGCUGAGAUAAAGGCAGGGUUGGGUGAAGCAGUCAAUUUUUAGGGCAUCUUUUCUAGCCUCUUCUUCACACCAGGAGGUGAACAGUACAAUGCUUAGAAAGCUGCUCAGACACCCAAGGGGCUACAGAAUCCUCCUGCCCAGUGAAGAGAUGACUCUAUGGUCUGAGCCACUUGCAUUCAGGUAAUUACAGCUUCCAAUAUAUCCUCAUCUGCUUCUUUGUCACUUGUCUAUUGCCCCAGGGCUUUGAGAUAGGUUUAAAAAAUUAGUAUAUGUAUUAUGUCUUUUUGCUUCAUGAAUAAAUUAGAUUUAGGUGAUACAUAGUUAAGUUUUCAGCCUCACUCUUCCAAAGUCAUUGGAGUCCAUUAGUAAGACAAAGUCAAGACAAGUGAUGAUGGCUUGGGAUGCAAUAUAUGAUCUUGGUGUCUUCAUUAUCUAACUAAGCUUAGAGCCUGUUUCAGUCACCUUCCUGGCUGGUAGAACAAAUUGUUUUCAUCUGCCCAUUCUGCUGGAGGAAGUUUUCACAGAUUUGGGAGAUUCAUCACCCCAGCUCACCAAAGGAUCCAAGACCUACUGUUUAUCCUUAACAUGGUUUAAUCUGUCUGUGGAAACAGUUUGCCAGAAGGUGGCCACUGUGCAUACUACAACUUAUUGGACUCAUAGAUGAAAGUUGUGUGAAUUAAGUGCACACCAAGGAUAGAAAGCAGCCCUGAAAAGGGUUCAGCAGCCUACACACUAGAAGUACUAACCGUCCCUGAAUAUACUUUAUGUUCCAUACAGAAAAGUGCAAGGAGGAUGGUAAUAUUUAGAAACAAUAUUAUAUUAAAAAUGGUGGAGGAAGCUAGAGAUGAUUUAGAUUACAAAAGACUAAGGGGGAAGAUAUGAUUACUGCCUUUAAAUAUCUGAAGAAUAGUCAUGUAGGGGGGAAAAAAAACCAGUUUUUUACAAUGCAACUAAGGUCAGUUAUUGGAUGUAGACUGAGGCAGAUUUUAGUUUUAAUAUAAACAACUUUCUAAAAGAACCCAUAAACUCACAAAAUUGCAGUUGAACAGGAACUUAAGUUCAACCCAAAUCCCAAAAUGAAUCUGCACUAUAACAUAUAAGGUAGGCUAUGGGACUCAUUAUCCCAAGCAACACUCUCACUGGCAGGCUAGAUCUUUAGAGUGCACUUACUGGUUCCUCAGAGUUCCAAGGGUAAAACUGAAGGAUUGGGGUUCUACUUUUUGGUACUGUAGCCCCCACUGGUAUGUUUCUAGUGAUUAUAAGUUGAUAUCAAUAUUGACUGUAGUAUAGGAAGAACUUCACCAGAGUUGUAAUUGGUACAAAAUAACCUCCAAGGGGCCAAGUUCUCUCAAAAGUACAAAAAGAGUCCAGGAGAAAGUGGGGUCAGCUUAGAGAACACAAGAAAGAGCACAUGUGACAAAGGAAUAACUGAUAAUUCUUGACAAAGUUCUUUUGUCCCUUCUGUAGUGUCCUGAUGAACCCUGCCAUUUAGCAUGACAAUAGUCUUCUACCAUGCUCCUUGUAAAGCUUUUGACAAUGACUAGUUUUUGUCUUUAGCUUAUGACAACAUUCUAAAGUUAGCUACUGAUGUUCCAAAUAUGCUGAAUGGACACUUUUUAGGAAAUUAUUUUGACCUUUUAAAUUUCACAAGAUCAUUUUCUAGUCAAGAGGAAGGAGACAAAAAUUGUUUCUUUACCCUCCCCCCUCCCCUUAGAUCAUCACAAAAACAGCAUUCCCAGAACAUAAAAAAUUAUCAAUUUAUAGAACUCAAGCAGUGGGAGACUAUUAUAGCUCUCAGUUCUAUCACCUAAGUGACACCUUAGCAAAUAAUUUCAUUAGCCUUAUAUGGUCUGUGGCUGGGCAUUGCCCACCCUCGUGGGCCUUUGUCAUUUUCUUGCCUCAAAACUUCAUAAUCUUUGGUGAAUUUAAAAAAUUUUCUUUGAACAAUACCAUUUGUGACAAUAUGAAUCAAUAGAGAAACUUACAAGAAUUUUUAAAACAGAUAACUUAAUACCAACUUCUAUUAUGUCUUUGAUAUAAGUUCUAUUAUCAGAUUGACAAGCAGCUGCCUUCAUAUCUCAUAGUAGUCUCCAAUGAGCACCUAUUCCUUUCUUCUCUGAUCCUCACUGAAUGAGACUUUGUGGCUCUACUGUCACUUCUUAAAGGACAAGCAUCUGCUUCUUUAGAACAUUUAGUUUCCUCUUUUCCAAGAGCUUCAAAUUUUCUUUUAAAUAUCAAAUAUAUGGUAGCUCCUUUUUCAUCAUUAUUUUAUGACAUUCUUCCAUUCUCUCCCUGGUUGACAAAUGUUUUUCCCCAGAACCAGUCCUGAUCCAUUCUUACUUCUCCCCUAUUCUUCUAGUUCUUUCAAUGAAACUUCAUGGUAUGGUAACUUUUUACCCUUCAGUGGGGAGGGAUUUCACUUUCUAUAAAUGGAAAACUAGCUUACUUUUGGACCCCAGAUAGCUGAUGGAACAGAGGAACAUGCUGUCUUAAAAAUGGAGUACCCUGCUACUUGGCAGUAUUCCAUAUGGAGCCAGCUAGGUGGUGCAGUGGAUAGAAUGUCCCAGCCCUGAAAUCAGGAGGACCCGA